rnacentral:rRNA from 1 species
UACAGAGGGUGCAAGCGUUGUUCGGAAUUAUUGGGCGUAAAGCGCGUGUAGGCGGCUUAGCAAGUCGGGCGUGAAAGCCCUCGGCUCAACCGAGGAAGUGCACCCGAAACUGCUGAGCUUGAGUGCCGGAGAGGAUGGCGGAAUUCCCCAAGUAGAGGUGAAAUUCGUAGAUAUGGGGAGGAACACCGGUGGCGAAGGCGGCCAUCUGGACGGUAACUGACGCUGAGACGCGAAAACGUGGGGAGCAAACAGG